AUGCCUUGCGCGCCGCGGGCCCAGAGACGUGAGGCUGUCGGCGUCCUGGUGGCCCCGCCUCGUGUCCCCCCCCGGACCCCACGCCGCGGGAGCUUGGGGGUUGCGGUCUUCUCUUCCUCCGACCUCACCUUCGAUGCGGAAGCGCAGGGGCAGGUGCGCCGCCCUCGGCCCGCGCAGGCGGUGGGCCCGUCUGGGGCAAGGCGCCCGGAAGCGCCUGGUUGGUUCAGAAAAUCGGACCGCAGCGGGAGGGCGGGCACCGGCGCGUGGUCUCAGUGGCCCCAGGCGAACCCUGAUGAGCAGCAGCCGCAAGUGGCUUACUAAAGGAGCCACUUUCUACGUUUGUCUGGAAUUUACGUGAAUUAAGCUGGCGGGCGGGCGGCCAGGCCUGUAGUCUCAGCACUUUGGGAGGCUCAGCACUUCGGGAGGCUGUGGCGGGCGGAUCACCUGAGCCUGGGAGUUGGAGACCAGCCUGCGCAACGUAGCAAGACCCUAUCUCUAAAACAGAUUCAUUAAUACUUAGCCAGGCGCGGUGGCUGAGGUCCCAGCUACUCGGCAGGCCCAGGCUGGCCUGAGCCAGACCGCUCUGGACUGUUUUAAUUUUUUCAGCCUUAAUACCUGCCAGAAUUUUUUUUUUACUAUGUAUCUUUGUCCUUACGUAUAUAAAUUUUAUAUACAAUUGAGAUUAUCCUGUAUUUGCUUUUCCCCCCUCACUUUUAUAUGGUGACUUUUCUCAUGUUAGGCUGAAUACUAACAUUUUGGAAACUGUCGGCCUGAAAACGAGCGGAGACACAGUUUCUCUAAGUAGAGAGUUUAUUUGGGCCACACUUGAGCACAAAUUCAAGGCGCCCUGAAUGUGUACUCCGAUUAGCAGUUAACAGUGGAUUUUAAAGGCAAAAAAGGGGGCCAGGGAGUGGACUAAUAGGAACUUGUUUGUGAGGAAUUCUCACUGGUUUACAGAAAUAACAUUGAUUAGUGACUGACUAUAUGUUGUUCAGCUAUUGAGUGUGGGUAUAGUGUCCAUUGUGGCGUCAUUAGGUUAAUUUAUAGCUGUUUGUGGCGCUGUUGCCACCAGUAGCAGUUUAAAGAGGUGAACACAGGUCAAGGGGUAGUAGGGCGCGAUUGUCGCCUCAUUUGAAUGUCUCUCUCGGCCUGAUAAUUAAAAGAACUCGCGUUCCUCAGAUAAAAAUUCUCUUUUCUCAAAACCAUUUAAAUGUGGUAAUUAGAAUGGCCCAGAAGGGGCACAGUGCCUUUUAGCCCUCGCCAUUACUUGCUCUUAGGAGUGCAUUUUUUGUAGCUGUGGGUUUUUGACUAUCUCUGCUGCUUUCUCCAGCCCCUACCCUCGUGACUACAAGGGAAAACGUGCGGUGCUCACGAGAGAGCCUUUAUGGGAUUUUUAAAAAAUGGGGAUUGUGGGAAAAUGGCUCCAGCAGUCACAGUUUUUCAGUUUCUCACAAUCCCAUAAAAACAGAGCAACCAGGUAACAAAACUAAAGCAUGGGCAACAUUUACAGACCACUGGAUGGUGAAGAAUUCCCAUGAACCCCUGGUUCACACUGUAAGGACACACUACUCAGCAUGGGCAACAUUUACAGACUACUGGAUGGUGAAGAAUUCCCAUGAACCCCUGGUUCACACUGUAAGGACAGACUACUCAGCAUGGGCAACAUUUACAGACCACUGGAUGAUGAAGAAUUCCCAUGAACUCCUGGUUCCAACUGUAAGGACACACUACUCAGCUGUAGCCUGAAGCCGCCUCCUUACAUACUGAAAGUGACGUGUGCAUAUUCCACUUGGGGCCUGGGGCAACACCCUCAUCAAACUGAUAUUCCUGCAGCAAAAUACAAGCAGGACGAAAAGGAUCAUGGGUCGUCUCGUGCCAAAUCAGGGGAAGGCGCCCAGUCCCCAGGAGCACAAUCUG
rnacentral:lncRNA from 1 species